UCUCUUUCCUCUUUAAUCAACACAACCACAAACCCGUAUAACAAUGGCGGGAGUUUGAAUUACAGAAAAAAUCUGGAUUUUUUUUUACGAAAUUCGAGCAAAAAAUGGAAAAUCCAAGUCAUAAUGAUGCUGAUUCUCUUCGCAGGGAGAUUCAAGAGCUUAGAGAUAUUCAAAUAAGUGUUGAAGAACCAGAAGCAUUUGGUAUAGAAUUGAAGAAAUCACUGGAAGAUUGUACACUUCAAUUUGAGAGCAAAGUGGAACAGAUAUUAUGUGAUGCUUCAGAAGUCAACUUCUCGUCUGAUCAGGAUUUAGAUGAAUUUUGGAAUUAUUUGAAGAAUGAGCUAAGCACAGAAGAGGCUAAAAAUGCAAAAAUUGCAGAUGAAAUUGAGGGGCUUUCAAGGGAAUAUGUUGAAGGUUAUAGCAAAUUGGUGAAUGAGAUUGAAGGCCUUAGUUGUCCUUUGGAGCUCAUUGAAUCACUGGGACUUGAACAAGGAAGAGCACUAACAAAUUUUCCUUGUUCUACACCUGGAGAAGAUAAAGGAAACUUGUCAAGUGCACCUGUAGAACAUAACUUUAAGAUCUUUGAAUUAGGUAAUCAGCUUGAAAAGAGCAAAUUGAAUUUGAAGUCCUUGGAAGAACUUGAGAGUACUUUCAACAGGUUUGAGGCUAUAGAAAAGAUUGAAGAUGCAUUUUCUGGUCUUAAGAUAGUAGAAUUUGAGGGGAACCGCAUCAGAUUAUCUUUGAGAACUUUUAUCCCAAACUUAGAAAACUUGCUCCACAACCAAAUAAUCGAUGUUGCUGAACCACCAGAGCAAAAUCAUGAGUUGUUAAUCGAACUGAUGGAUGGAACCAUGGAGCUAAAACACGUUGAGAUUUUCCCAAAUGAUGUAUCUAUAAGCGAUAUAACUGAUACUGCAAAAUCCUUAAGACAGGUCUAUUUCCCUGUGGGAGUUCUUGAAAAUAGAUCUUCUUUGGAGUGGUUCGUUAAAAGGGUGCAAGAUCGAAUUGUUCUUAGCACAUUAAGGCGCUUUCUAGUGAAGAGUGCAAAUAGUUCAAGACAUUCAUUUGAUUAUGCGGAUAGAGAAGAGACAAUAGUAGCUCAUAUGGUUGGUGGAAUUGAUGCUUUCAUAAAGCUACCUCAAGGUUGGCCUUUAACCAGUUCUGGUUUAACCCUGAUGUCUCUCAAGAGUUCAAGUCAGUACUCACAACAGAUAUCUUUGACCCUCCUUUGCAAGGUUGCGGAAGUGGCAAACUCGUUGGAUACAAAUGCACGACAGACUAUCUCAGGCUUUACAGAUAGAGUUGAAGAAAUACUUAUGCAACAAAUGACUGCAGUAACAACUUCAACCUGAAAAUAUUCCGAAAGAUAACUGCUUCCCUGCUCUAUGACACUCUGUACUUAUUCUGGUAAAUGUGUGCUCUUCAAAUGGAUACGCAGUCAUCUGUUCAAGAAAAACUCCCUUCAACUAGACUAUUGCAAGUAGUGAACCAAUUAGACAUAUGGAAAUAAUCCUUGGUGAACCAAUGAAAUUGUAGCAUUUCAUGAUCAUAUUAUUAGGUUCUGUGAAAUUUAUAAGAAAUUUUAGGGAUUAUGUAUAAAAUUAUGGUAGUAUGGUAUUUGUUAUUUUGCUUUCUAACUGAAUAUACUUCAAAUGGACAAGUGUUUUUGAACAAUUGUUGAAUAUAUUGAUGAAAAAU